CCUACGGGAGGCUGCAGUAGGGAAUAUUGCUCAAUGGGGGAAACCCUGAAGCAGCAACGCCGCGUGGAGGAUGAAGGUUUUCGGAUUGUAACCUCCUUUUGUUAGAGAAGAUAAUGACGGUAUCUAACGAAUAAGCACCGGCUAACUCCGUGCCAGCAGCCGCGGUAAUACGGAGGGUGCAAGCGUUACUCGGAAUCACUGGGCGUCAAGAGCGCGUAGGCGGGAUAGCAAGUCAGAUGUGAAAUCCUAUGGCUUAACCAUAGAACUGCAUUUGAAACUGUUAUGCUAGAGUGUGGGAGAGGUAUGUGGAAUUCUUGGUGUAGGGGUGAAAUCCGUAGAGAUCAAGAGGAACACUCAUUGCGAAGGCGACCUGCUAGAACAUAACUGACGCUGAUGCGCGAAAGCGAGGGGAGCAAACAGGAUUAGAUACCCUAGUAGUC
rnacentral:rRNA from 1 species